rnacentral:rRNA from 1 species
UGGGGAAUAUUGGGCAAUGGGCGAAAGCCUGACCCAGCAAUGCCGCGUGAAGGAAGAAGGCCUUCGGGUUGUAAACUUCUUUUAGUCAGGGACGAAGGAAGUGACGGUACCUGCAGAAUAAGCCACGGCUAACUACGUGCCAGCAGCCGCGGUAAUACGUAGGUGGCGAGCGUUGUCCGGAUUUACUGGGUGUAAAGGGCGUGUAGCCGGGUCGGCAAAGUCAGAUGUGAAAUCCACGGGCCUAACUCGUGAACUGCAUUUGAAACUGUUGAUCUUGAGUAUCGGAGAGGCAAUCGGAAUUCCUAGUGUAGCGGUGAAAUGCGUAGAUAUUAGGAGGAACACCAGUGGCGAAGGCGGAUUGCUGGACGACAACUGACGGUGAGGCGCGAAAGCGUGGGGAGCAAACAGGAUUAGAUACCCUGGUAGU